UACGUAGGGGUCGAGCGUUGUCCGGACUUACUGGGCGUAAAGCGUGGUAGGUGGCUGGUGAUGUGCCGGUGUGAAAGCGCCGCGCUUCUCGCGGACGAGGUCGCGGUAGACACACCGAGCUAGAGGCACGGAGAGGGGCGUAGAAUUCCCGGUGUAGUGGUGAAAUGACGUAGAUAUCGGGAAGGAAUACCAGUGGCGCAAGCGGCGCCCUGG
rnacentral:rRNA from 1 species